AUUGAACGCUGGCGGAAUGCUUUACACAUGCAAGUCGAACGGCAGCACGGACUUCGGUCUGGUGGCGAGUGGCGAACGGGUGAGUAAUGUAUCGGAACGUGCCCAAUAAUGGGGGAUAACUAAUCGAAAGGUUGGCUAAUACCGCAUACGCCCUACGGGGGAAAGCAGGGGAUCUUCGGACCUUGCGUUAAUGGAGCGGCUGAUACCUGAUUAGCUAGUUGGUGAGGUAAAGGCUCACCAAGGCGACGAUCAGUAGCUGGGCUGAGAGGACGACCAGCCACACUGGAACUGAGACACGGUCCAGACUCCUACGGGAGGCAGCAGUGGGGAAUUUUGGACAAUGGGCGCAAGCCUGAUCCAGCCAUUCCGCGUGAGUGAAGAAGGCCUUCGGGUUGUAAAGCUCUUUCGCAAGGGAAGAAAACUUACUUUCUAAUAAAGAGUGAGGUUGACGGUACCUUGAUAAGAAGCACCGGCUAACUACGUGCCAGCCGCCGCGGUAA
rnacentral:rRNA from 1 species